GAUGAACGCUAGCGGCAGGCUUAACACAUGCAAGUCGAGGGGCAGCGCAGGUAGCAAUACUGGGCGGCGACCGGCAAACGGGUGCGGAACACGUACGCAAUUUACCCUUAUCUGGGGGAUAGCCCGGAGAAAUCCGGAUUAAUACCCCAUAAUAUAUAUGGAUGGCAUCAUCUGCAUAUUAAAGCUCAGGCGGAUAAGGAUGAGCGUGCGUCCCAUUAGCUAGUUGGUAGGGUAAAGGCCUACCAAGGCGACGAUGGGUAGCUGGUGUGAGAGCACGACCAGCCACACGGGCACUGAGACACGGGCCCGACUCCUACGGGAGGCAGCAGUGAGGAAUAUUGGUCAAUGGACGCAAGUCUGAACCAGCCAUGCCGCGUGGAGGAUGAAGGCCUUCUGGGUUGUAAACUUCUUUUAUCGGGGAAGAAAAUUAUGGUUUCUACUAUAACCGACGGUACCCGAGGAAUCAGCACCGGCUAACUCCGUGCCAGCAGCCGC
rnacentral:rRNA from 1 species